rnacentral:lncRNA from 1 species
UCCCCAGCCAGGGAUUGAAUCUGAACCACAGCUGUGACUUAGGCUGCAGCUGUGGCAACACUGGAUCCUUUAACUCCCUGGACCAUCUAGGGAUUGAACCUGCAUCUUGCAGCCACCUGGGUGGCUGCAGUAGGAUUCUUAACCCACUGUGCUCUGGCAGGAACUCUGGGGUCUUCAGAUUUUGACACGACAGUACAGCAAUAUAGCUUCAUGCUUAGGAUCACUUUGUAAAGAGAAGAUUCUUGGGAGCUGGCCCUCUGCCCAACAGGCCUACCUCCUGGGUUGUUUUCAUAAGAAGAUAAAUCUCAGGUCUUGCCCUAACGUGCUGUAAGAUGAUUUUGACGUCAUCCCUCUCUGCUCUAUUCUUUGUGCUCUUUGGCUACCUAAGUGCAAUUUCCCAGUCUGUAACACCCCAUAGCUGACAGUGACAUCAUAACCUCAUCUUGACAUCAGAGCUCUCUCUAGUACAGCCCUUGCUUACCUCUCCACCCCUUUCUGCACAGUGGUGGGUCAUGGACACAAAUGGGCUCCUUUCUACUGUUAUAUGUCCACGGGAGCCCCUCCCUCCCAAUUUAGCCCUAUCUCCCACUUGCCCAGACAAUUGCUAUCCACUUGGUCCUCAGCCCUGCAGGCAAUUCUCCCUAAUUUAUUUCCCAAAGCUGGGCCCUGAGACCCUUGUGUGAACUUGCAGGUGCCUAUCUAAGAAUCCUGGUUCUACUUUCUCUUACCCUAUAGCCCCCAGAGAGUCCCAAAGUGAAGGGCAAAAUCUGACUUAUUUUAAUCAUUUUCUCUAGCAUUUAGUAUGUUUAAAUAUUUUCUUAUUUGUGAUCAAAUUUAAGCUAUUUUUUAAAAAAAAAUAUUACAGUUGAUUUACAAUGUUGUGCCAAUUUCUGCCAUACAACAAAGUGACCCAGUCAUAUAUAUAUAUUCCCUUUCUUAUAUUAUCUUCAAUUAUGGUCUAUCCCAAGAGACUGGAUAUAAUUCCCUGUGCUGUAAAGUAGGUCCUCAUCCUCAUUGUUAAGCUAGGGGUUUUUGUUUGCUUGUUUGUUUUUGGCAAUAUAUUUUGCCUUUGUUAUGUGUGAAGUCGCUAAAGAAAGAUUCAAAAGCUGUUCAUUGAUCAGAGGUCUUAAAGACAAAGCAGGAAAGUAUGAAAUAUGCCCACUGUGGCCAGUUGUAAAUUCCAGCAGGAAAGUCAGAGCAAUCUUUUAGGAACUGUCACUUCAUAUCCUAAUCACCACUUUUACAUAGGGCCAAGUGUGAUGAUACCUCUGCAGGGAUUAGAAAGUGUUAUGUGAUGCAAACACAUCUCCUACAGACUUCUGCGCCAGGUGAGCAGCUGAGCUGACCAAGGAGAUCCAGCAAACUGUUCGGGGAUCCAUAAAUCAGAUUCUGGAAGCCAGCUUUUCCAGUUCAGAGGCAUUAGUAAAGAAGAGAGAGAUGCUCUAUUUUUGAAUCAAUUGCAUUCCCAGGCCUGGCUCAUAGUCAGAUUAAGAAGGUAGCUAAGAUUUGUGCUGUAAUUUAUUGCUGCAUAUCAUAACCUUGGCAUUGUCUUCCAGCCUGGAGAGUAGUUUUUUUCCACAGACUGCAGGUUGCAGUCUGCUGCAGGGAUGCUGGCCCUUUCCUUAGACGUGGACUAGAGAGUUACCUCCGCCCCAAUCUUGUUAGCAAUGAUGUGGAAGGAAGAGGCACUUUAAUUCCCAAUGACUUCAUUUUUGGCACUGUUUGCUUAAUUACAGAACCUGUCGCUAUUGCCUAGUGGAGGUGUGUUUUCACCUUAUUUGUCUCAACCAUUAGAAUAAAGACAGGGCAUGUGACUUAUUCAUUAUUACAUUUCUUUUCUUUAGCAUAGGUUAGGUGUCUAAGAAAUGGCAACUCCAUGAAUGAAUGAAUGAAAGUAGGUCAACCUCAAUGAUUUUUCAGGGAUUUAACAUGUACCAAUUAUAGCUAAAUGGCUAGUUUAUGGGUUAAAUAAAGUAUAAAGUGCUUUGCCAUUGCUAUCUUCAAAACAGCAGGAGGGGAGUUCCCAUUGUGGCUCAAUGGGUUAAAAACUGACAUAGUCUCAAUGAGGAUACAGUUCAAUCCCUGGCCUUGGUUAAGGAUUUGGCAUUGCCACAAGAUGCAGCAGAGGUCACAGAUGCAGCUCAGAUCCCGUGUUGCUAUGGCUGUGGUGUAGGUCAUGGCAGCUGCAGCUCUAAUUUGACCCCAGACCUAGGAAAUUCCAUAUACUGCCAGUGCUGCUGUAAUAAGAACAACAAACAAACCAAAAAAAUCCCAAAACAAUCAGCAGGAGGGAAGAAGCAUUGUUAUCCCAUUCCACAGAUGAAGGUGAACUAAGGGUGCACAUAGCAGCACACAGUGGAGUGGUGCUUUGUGUCCCAGCCACAGCUGACUGUGUGCUCAUUUUCUUCCUCAAAGCCAUGCUCAUCACCAGAGAAAAUAGUCUGCUUGUAGUACACACAUGCACAGUGCAUUUUCCUAAGGCACAUCACAGUGUGUUGUGAUUAAUUAGUCUUACUGUGUGAUGAGAUCUUUAGAGACAGACCCUUUAAUUCAGUUCUUAGAUAGUCCAUGGUUAGCUCCAAUUAGGUAGGAUGAGUAAUUUGGAGGGGUUCCUGGAGUUCCAGAGGGAAGGGAUCGUAAGAACUGAAACUGUCAUCAGAACAGGACAUAGAAGGAUGGGGCAAGGGAGGAGCAGAGAUGGGCAGGGGCCUGGCUGUCUGGAAUAGUCCCCAGGAUCAUGAAAUGAUCAAGAAUUUUUUUUUGUUUGAAAUUUGUAAAGCAGUAGGAGGCAUACUGUCUUGAGUAGAAUUCUGCAGCAAAAAUGAUUUUUGUGGGAAAAUGGAAAUAGCCAAUUACGAGGCACAUGUCCUUAUACUAGAGGCAUUACUCUUGUACAGUAUGGAUAUUUUGUUUGUUCAACAUGGAUGUAGAAUGUAAUUUCUAUUUGCAAAGUCCUGUGAAGAGGGAAAAGUUAUUAAUACCAUUGUUCCCGAAUUUAUAAGACAUUCCACAAGCAUUAUUUUCAGAUGUCACUCAAUCUUUUUUGAUUACUAUUAUCACCAUUUUAAAGCAAAAGACAAGGUUGAGUAUUUUGCCAAGGUAUCACAGAAAGGGGCAAAUAGAGUACAUUUAUUUUUAUUUUAUUUUUUGGGGGCUGAACCCGUGACAUGUGGAUGUUCCCAGGCUAGUGGUUGAAUUGGAGUAGUAGCUGCUGGCCUACACCACAGCCAUAGCAAUGAGGGAUCUGAACCAUGUCUAUGACCUACUCCACAGCUCACAGCAACACUGCAUCUUUAACCCACUGAGCAAGGCCAGUGAUCGAACCCGCAUCCUCAUGAAUACUAGUCAGAUUCAUUUCUACUGAGCAAUGAGGGAACUCUAGCCAUGAUGGGAACUCCUCCAUUUAAACUGAAGUCUUUCCAAAACUCUAGCUCUUAAUUGUCUGCAAUUUAUGAAAAAAGAAAAUAUCUUUAAUGGACUUGCAUUCUGACUGAAGGGAUAAAAGUGAAUACAUAUGACAUGAUAGUACAAUGACAAUAAAUGAUGGUCUAAGAGAACUGCUAGAAUUAGUCAGUGAUGAGUUUGAGACUUACCAUGGGAUAGAGAGCUAUAGGGAAGGCUGGCAGGGGGUGAAGAGAAAGCCUGAAUGUCUGUGUAUUGAGCCUAAGGGGUAUCUUCUAGCCUUCAGAAACCACACAGGGCCAAAGCAGAAGCAGCUAUCCAGAGCCUAUUCCCUAUCUGAUGUAGGCCAGGCCAGUACAGAGCUGCCUGGGUGUGUGUGGGGGUGGUGGUGUCCUGGGACCUGGGAUGUGCCUUGGGCUAGGUUCCAUGGACCUGAAUUUGGGACCAAUGGAAAUAGCAGCUAGAUGCCAGAGAGGCUCAUGGGAAAAACAACAGUGGUAAAGUCUUUCUUUCAAUGUGUUGAAUAUAGAGGAGAAGCCAAAGAAUAGAGCCCAAAUGGGAAGUAAAAAGACUUUGGCUGAGGAGGGAAAUGAAGAGAAUAAAGGCAGAUGGAAGGAGGUUUGGAAAAAUUCUGGAGAUUAUGUUGAGAAUAUUCAUAGAUUUUGCACAAAAGCAAUGAGUAAGCUUAGUGGGGAAGGUCUUUUAAAUAGUUUUGACCAUUUUGGGCUUGGCAGAGUAGGCAGGCAUAAGUUUCUUUAAUAUGAAAAACAGUAGGAAGCUCUUAGCAGUUUUAGAAGAGCCUCUGUCCCAAGGUCCUCAGAGACCCCAGUGAUAGUGGGUAGGUCCAGAUAGCAGAUAGAUGAGCACCUCGUGGAAGUAUGCUGCAGUUUUAGUCUGUGCCACCUCACCAAGCAUGACACCUGGGGAGCAUGGCCUCUGCAUUUAAACAAUUCCUCUGAAAAAGGCUGCAUUCCAAAUCUUUUUUGUGUUCUUCUCUUAAAACAACACUUAAAAAUUUUUUUAGGAGUUCCUGUCGUGGUGCAGUAGAAAUGAAUCUGACUAGGAAACAUGAGGUUGCGGGUUCGAUCCCUGGCCUCACUAAGUGGGUUAAGGAUCCUGCAUUGCUAUGAGCUGUGGUGUAGGUUGCAGAUGUGGUUUGGAUCUGGCAUUGCUGUGGCUGUGGUAUAGGCUGGCAACUAUAGCUCUGAUUGGACCCUAGCCUGGGAACCUCCAUGUGCUGUGGGUGCAGCCCUAAAAAGGACAAAAGACAAAAUAAAUAAAUAAAUAAAUAAACUAUUACACUGUAUAAGAGGCAAAUCAGCACAGAGUUGCUUCUAAGAUAAUAUUUUAAAGUAAAUAAACCUGAAGUCCUCCAAGGUCAAGAUGAUAACCUGAGUGAGAAUGUUUAAGCAUUUUACCAAUUUCCCACUAAAAUAACUCAACUAAUGUAAAAGGCAAAAUUCGAUAUCAUAGAGAGUAGCCAUAAAAAAUUGCACACUGACCUA